GGUUAUUUUCGGCACUUCCGUGCGUUCCAAAAACCGGAAGUGCUAUGUUUUUGGAACGCACGGAAGUGCCGAAAAUAAGU